UACGUAGGGGGCUAGCGUUGUCCGGAAUCACUGGGCGUAAAGGGCGCGUAGGCGGCGCGAGUAGUCAACGGUGAAAGCCCGGGCUCAACCCCGGGUCGGCCGUCGAUACUCUCGUGCUUGAGCACUGUAGAGGCAGGUGGAAUUCCGGGUGUAGCGGUGGAAUGCGCAGAUAUCAGGAGGAACACCAAUGGCGAAGGCAGCUCGCUGGAACGGUACUGACGCUGAGACGCGAAAGCGUGGGGAGCGAACAGG
rnacentral:rRNA from 1 species